rnacentral:rRNA from 1 species
CCUACGGGAGGCAGCAGUGGGGGAUAUUGCACAAUGGGGGGAACCCUGAUGCAGCGACGCCGCGUGGGUGAAGGAGCGUUUCGGCGCGUAAAGCCCUAUCGGCAGGGAAGAAGAAGGACGGUACCUGACUAAGAAGCCCCGGCUAACUACGUGCCAGCAGCCGAGGUAAUACGGAGGGGGCAAGCGUUAUCCGGAUUUGAUGGGUGUAAAGGGGGCGCAGACGGCAGCGCAAGCCAAGAGUGAAAGCCCGGGGCCCAACCCCGGGACUGCUCUUGGAACUGCGCGGCUGGAGUGCACGAGGGGCAGGCGGAAUGCGUGGUGUAGCGGUGAAAUGCGUAGAUAUCAGGAGGAACACCGGUUGCGAAGGCAGCCUGCUGGACUGCGACUGACGUUGAGGCCCGAAAGCGUGGGUAGCAAACAGGAUUAGAUACCCUAGUAGUC